rnacentral:rRNA from 1 species
UAGUGGCGGACGGGUGAGUAACGCGUGGGUAACCUGCCUCAUACAGGGGGAUAACAGUUGGAAACGGCUGCUAAUACCGCAUAAGCGCACAGCAUCGCAUGAUGCAGUGUGAAAAACUCCGGUGGUAUAAGAUGGACCCGCGUUGGAUUAGCUGGUUGGUGGGGUAACGGCCCACCAAGGCGACGAUCCAUAGCCGGCCUGAGAGGGUGAACGGCCACAUUGGGACUGAGACACGGCCCAGACUCCUACGGGAGGCAGCAGUGGGGAAUAUUGCACAAUGGGGGAAACCCUGAUGCAGCGACGCCGCGUGAAGGAAGAAGUAUCUCGGUAUGUAAACUUCUAUCAGCAGGGAAGAUAGUGACGGUACCUGACUAAGAAGCCCCGGCUAACUACGUGCCAGCAGCCGCGGUAAUACGUAGGGGGCAAGCGUUAUCCGGAUUUACUGGGUGUAAAGGGAGCGUAGACGGUGUGGCAAGUCUGAUGUGAAAGGCAUGGGCUCAACCUGUGGACUGCAUUGGAAACUGUCAUACUUGAGUGCCGGAGGGGUAAGCGGAAUUCCUAGUGUAGCGGUGAAAUGCGUAGAUAUUAGGAGAAACACCAGUGGCGAAGGCGACCUACUGGGCACCAACUGACGCUGAGGCUCGAAAGCAUGGGUAGCAAACAGGAUUAGAUACCCUGGUAGUCCAUGCCGUAAACGAUGAUUACUAGGUGUUGGAGGAUUGACCCCUUCAGUGCCGCAGUUAACACAAUAAGUAAUCCACCUGGGGAGUACGACCGCAAGGUUGAAACUCAAAGGAAUUGACGGGGGCCCGCACAAGCAGUGGAGUAUGUGGUUUAAUUCGAAGCAACGCGAAGAACCUUACCAGGUCUUGACAUCCGAUGCAUAGCUUAGAGAUAAGUGAAGUCCUUCGGGACAUCGAGACAGGUGGUGCAUGGUUGUCGUCAGCUCGUGUCGUGAGAUGUUGGGUUAAGUCCCGCAACGAGCGCAACCCUUAUUGCCAGUUACUACGAAAGAGGACUCUGGCGAGACUGCCGUUGACAAAACGGAGGAAGGUGGGGAUGACGUCAAAUCAUCAUGCCCUUUAUGACCUGGGCUACACACGUACUACAAUGGCGUUUAACAAAGAGAAGCAAGACCGCGAGGUGGAGCAAAACUCAAAAACAACGUCUCAGUUCAGAUUGCAGGCUGCAACUCGCCUGCAUGAAGUCGGAAUUGCUAGUAAUCGCGGAUCAGCAUGCCGCGGUGAAUACGUUCCCGGGCCUUGUACACACCGCCCGUCA